rnacentral:lncRNA from 1 species
UUUAUUUACUGCUGGUGUACUGUUCUAAUUGUAAUCUUGUUUGCUUCGUGUAUGUCUGUCUCCGAUUGCUUGUGUGUUGAUGUUUGGUGACCGAGCCUAGUCAGUGGGCAUUACUUUGGUGAUCAAGAUCAGAGUCUUGGAAGCAAGUAAGAUCAGCAGGACUAGCAGGAGCAAUUGGAUCAAGGCAAGUAUAGCAUUUGGG